UACAGAGGUCCCAAGCGUUGUUCGGAUUCACUGGGCGUAAAGGGUGCGUAGGUGGUGAGGUAAGUCGGAUGUGAAAUCUCCGAGCUCAACUCGGAAAUGGCAUUGGAAACUACCUUGCUCGAGGGUUGGAGGGGGGACUGGAAUGCUUGGUGUAGCAGUGAAAUGCGUAGAUAUCGGGAGGAACACCAGUGGCGAAGGCGGCGAUCUGGGAAGAUACUGACGCUGAGGUGCGAAAGCGUGGGGAGCAAACAGG
rnacentral:rRNA from 1 species